UACGGGGGGGGCAAGCGUUGUUCGGAUUUACUGGGCGUAAAGCGCACGUAGGCGGAUCGUUAAGUCGGGGGUGAAAUCCUGGAGCUCAACUCCAGAACUGCCUUCGAUACUGGCGAUCUAGAGUCCGGAAGAGGUGAGUGGAACUCCUGGUGUAGAGGUGGAAUUCGUAGAUAUUAGGAAGAACACCAGUGGCGAAGGCGGCUCACUGGUCCGGUACUGACGCUGAGGUGCGAAAGCGUGGGGAGCAAACAGG
rnacentral:rRNA from 1 species